GACGCGGAUCCGAGGCUCGGCUGUCCUGUGAUAUGGAGACCCUGGGAUCUUUCAACAGGAGAGACGCGAUUAAAUAAAGUGGUUCCUGCAGGUCUGAGGCGGGUUCAGACGUCUGAAGAUGUUUUCCAUCAUCCUGUGAGUGACGGCUGUUCAACACAGAAGAGGACGCGUGCUUAUUCAAUAACUGUUUUAUUUCCUAUUUGGGUUGAUGUGUGUUCUUUAUUGUUUGAUUACCUGUUUUUUCCAAGGCUUUGUUAGAUGCCAGAGUUUCCUGUAUGUGAAGAUCUGAUUUCAAAAACAGUAUCAUGGCUAUUAAACAGUUUCUUGUUAUGAUUUUAAAUCUGUAUUUAACCUCAGAACAAUCUCAAAGUGAAAAGAGGUGCUAAAGUCUGAUUUUGUGGUGGCUGUGCUUUAAAUUAAAUGAUUAUAAUCUUAAUUGAAGUGAAGAAGGAUUGUGAAAGUCUGGCAGUAAUCCGUGUUGAGUUCUGUGAUGUUAACCCUGUCUGCUUUACAUGUUUCACGGUGAUUAACAGUUGAAAAAAGUUUAGAAAAGUAAUCAGUUACAUUACUUUAAUAAAAUAAAUGACACUACUUGUUACAUUUUAAAUGGGGUAACCUGUAACCUGAUACAUUUCCAAAGUAACCUUCCCAACGCUGUCAUUUUACAAACGCUUUGAAACAAGUUGUAACAUUUUAAAAACGUUAAAUGGACGUCCAAACUAAAGUCUUUCAGAAAUAAAAUGUUCCAUGAACGAUGUAUAAAUAAUGUUCUUAACUGAAUGCAUGUUCUGUUUAUGUUGCUGUGAAAAUGUUUGCUCAUAACGUUGUGAGAACAUUAGCUGGGGAUCUCCGUCAGUGAGUUUGUGUUUCUGACGGCUCGCAUUCGU